UACGUAGGGUGCAAGCGUUAAUCGGAAUUACUGGGCGUAAAGCGUGCGCAGGCGGUUAUGUAAGACAGUUGGGAAAUCCCCGGGCUCAACCUGGGAACUGCAUCUGUGACUGCAUAGCUAGAGUACGGUAGAGGGGGAUGGAAUUCCGCGUGUAGCAGUGAAAUGCGUAGAUAUGCGGAGGAACACCGAUGGCGAAGGCAAUCCCCUGGGCCUGUACUGACGCUCAUGCACGAAAGCGUGGGGAGCAAACAGG
rnacentral:rRNA from 1 species